rnacentral:tRNA from 1 species
GCCAGCAUGGUGUAGUGAUUUGAGCGUUGGACUAUGACUCUGGCGACCAGGGUUCAAAUCCCUGCUCCGCCA